GAAAGAAAGAGAGCUGGAAAGAAUGAGAGAGAGAGAGAGACUCUCCUCCCUUCGGCAGCAGCGCUUGUGUCUCUUUCAUGUCCACCAUGCUUGGAUCUGAGGCUUCGUCUCCCAGCUGGGCCUGGUGUGCAUGUGUGCAGCUAAGUGCCGGCUAAUUUCCCCUUGGAUCUCCCGGCCGGAGCCUAGGAUUUCUCCCCCAACAACGCCACCCCACAAACACCACUGCCUCGGUCCCCUGUCCAUGUGAAGAGGAGAUGGGAAAGGGGCAGAUUUGGCAGCGAUGGGCGAACAGGAGCUCCUUCCAUAUAAUGAGAAUCCACUACGAAAAAGACACUGUGCAGUGCUCCGUUUCCAGGGAACAUAACAUGGGACCGCACUCUAGCAGCAGAACUUCUACGACAGGAAAAUGACUUCCAUUUCGGAGGCAGUACAGCAGACAGUCACAGACAGCCAGAAUCGGUCGAUCCCGGAUGAUGGUGCACUUCUACACGGCCAUCAUGGAGUCCAUCCUCUGCUCCUCUAUCACUGUCUGGUACGCUGCAGCCACAGCCAAGGACCAGCUCUUCCAGGACCCUGAAGCGAGCUAAAAAAAUUGUUGCCAACCCCUCUCAACCCGGACAAAACCUGUGUGUGCCCCUUCUAUCUGGCAGGAGGCUGAGGUCCAUCAGGACCAAGACCUCUUGCCACACAAACAGUUUGUUCAGCAACAGAGCCCGGUCCCCCACUGACUAACACUGUCAUCCCUGUCCACUGGUCACACUCCACAUGCACAUACACUUGUUACUUUCUGUUCGCUGACUUUUUGUUUUUUUUCAUCUUGCACUAUGUUGUCUUAUCUUUCUUGUUGUCACGCACCAACUGCCAAGUCAAAUUCCUUGUAUGUCUAACAUAUUUUGAUAAUAAACGUUCCUGAUUCCGGAUUCCUGAAGAUGCCAAACACACACGCACAAACCACCUCCUCCCAAUUAUUCCAUUCACUUCUAAUGGUAACCAUUUGUCUUUCGAUGAAAUCAAAAUGCUGUUUUCUCUGAGGACAAAUUGCAAAGCUAUUCCAUUCACAGCUUGAGAAAGGCCUACGGCUUGGCUGGGUUUCUUCAGGGUUGUUUAAAUGACGGGGCAGGGGCUUAGCUAAUGUGGCUAAUAGGCUCUGAAUUGUGUGCGGUUGUGAAUGUGCAAGUGAAGGAAAGGAACGCUCAAGGAAAGCAAAUAGAGGGAUUUAUUUAUGUGGCCUAUGUUUUGAAUUUGCCCAAUGAUUAAAUUAUAGCUGUUUUAGGGCCCCUUUGUGAUUGAAACUAAAGGGACUCGAGAAGAAAGCCUUGUUCGAGGCACGAGUGAAAUCCAGGAAGUAAAUGAUAAAUCCAUGUCAAUGCUCAUCAGAUGCCAAAACUCUUCACAGCAGCGUGCUGGUCUCGUCUG
ensembl:lncRNA